rnacentral:rRNA from 1 species
GAUGAACGCUGGCGGCGUGCCUAAUACAUGCAAGUCGAGCGAACAGGCGAGGAGCUUGCUCCUCUGACGUUAGCGGCGGACGGGUGAGUAACACGUGGAUAACCUACCUAUAAGACUGGGAUAACUUCGGGAAACCGGAGCUAAUACCGGAUAAUAUAUUGAACCGCAUGGUUCAAUAGUGAAAGACGGUUUUGCUGUCACUUAUAGAUGGAUCCGCGCCGCAUUAGCUAGUUGGUAAGGUAACGGCUUACCAAGGCAACGAUGCGUAGCCGACCUGAGAGGGUGAUCGGCCACACUGGAACUGAGACACGGUCCAGACUCCUACGAGAGGCAGCAGUAGGGAAUCUUCCGCAAUGGGCGAAAGCCUGACGGAGCAACGCCGCGUGAGUGAUGAAGGUCUUCGGAUCGUAAAACUCUGUUAUUAGGGAAGAACAAAUGUGUAAGUAACUAUGCACGUCUUGACGGUACCUAAUCAGAAAGCCACGGCUAACUACGUG